UAUCGGUUCAAGUCCUGAGAGGAUUCACUUAAUAGUGGAGAUGCCUUGUAACCGGAUAGCCAUUGUCUAUAUAGGGGGACUAAAUAUG
rnacentral:sRNA from 1 species